UGACCUCGAAUCAGGUAGGGAUACCCGCUGAACUUAAGCA
rnacentral:rRNA from 1 species